GGGUUCCAUUGGACUUUAUGGGGUUCCAUUGGACUUUAUGGGGUUCCAUUGGGUUUUAUGGGGUUCCAUUGGACUUUAUGGGGUUCCAUUGAACUUUAUGAGGUUCCAUUGGACUUUAUGGAGUUCCAUUGGACUUUAUGGGGUUCCAUUGGGUUUUAUGGGGUUCCAUUGGACUUAAUGAGGUUCUACUGGACUUUAUGGAGUUCCAUUGGACUUUAUGGAGUUCCAUUGGACUUUGUGGGGUUCCAUUGGGUUUUAUGGAGUUCCAUUGGGUUUUAUGAGGUUCCAUUGAACUUUAUGGGUUCCAUUGGACUUUAUGGGGUUCCAUUGGGUUUUAUGGGGUUCCAUUGGACUUAAUGAGGUUCCAUUGGACUUUAUGGGGUUCCAUUGG